AGCGAACGCUGGCGGCGUGCCUAACACAUGCAAGUCGAACGUGAAAGGGAGCAAUCCUGAGUAAAGUGGCGUACGGGUGAGUAACGCGUAGGUAAUCUACCCCAGAGUCUGGAAUAACCUGCCGAAAGGCGGGCUAAUACUGGAUAGAGCGAUGAAAUCCGUAAUUGGGUUUUUCGGGAAAGGGAGCCCGCAAGGGCCUUCGCUUUGGGAUGAGCCUACGUCUCAUUAGCUAGUGGUGGGGUAAAAGCCCACCAAGGCAUAGAUGGGUAGCUGGUCUGAGAGGAUGAUCAGCCACACUGGAACUGAAACACGGUCCAGACUCCUACGGGAGGCAGCAGUGGGGAAUCUUGCGCAAUGGACGAAAGUCUGACGCAGCCACGCCGCGUGAGUGAAGAAGGCCUUCGGGUUGUAAAGCUCUGUCGCCCGGGACGAAAAUCUUAUGGGUUAAUAGCCCAUGAGACUGACGGUACCGGGAGAGGAAGCACCGGCUAACUCCGUGCCAGCAGCCGCGGUAA
rnacentral:rRNA from 1 species